rnacentral:rRNA from 1 species
CGCGUAGGCGGGCUGUUAAGUUGGGUGUGAAAUGUCGGGGCUCAACCCUGAGAGUGCAUCUGAAACUGGCAGUCUUGAGCAGUGGAGAGGGAAGUGGAAUUCCUGGUGUAGCGGUGAAAUGCGUAGAUAUCAGGAGGAACACCCGUGGCGAAGGCGGCUUCCUGGCCACUAGCUGACGCUGAGGUGCGAAAGCCAGGGGAGCGAACGGGAUUAGAUACCCCGGUAGUCCUGGCCGUAAACGAUGGAUACUAGGUGUUAGAGGUAUCGACCCCUCUAGUGCCGCAGCUAACGCAAUAAGUAUCCCGCCUGGGGAGUACGGCCGCAAGGUUGAA